UCCAAUGUGGUGUAGUGGCUAACAUUGCUGUCUUUCACACAGCAGCCCGGGGUUCGAUUCCCCGCAUUGGAA
rnacentral:tRNA from 4 species